GAUGAACGCUGGCGGCGUGCCUAAUACAUGCAAGUCGAGCGAACAGAUGAGGAGCUUGCUCCUCUGACGUUAGCGGCGGACGGGUGAGUAACACGUGGAUAACCUACCUAUAAGACUGGGAUAACUUCGGGAAACCGGAGCUAAUACCGGAUAAUAUAUUGAACCGCAUGGUUCAAUAGUGAAAGACGGUUUUGCUGUCACUUAUAGAUGGAUCCGCGCCGCAUUAGCUAGUUGGUAAGGUAACGGCUUACCAAGGCAACGAUGCGUAGCCGACCUGAGAGGGUGAUCGGCCACACUGGAACUGAGACACGGUCCAGACUCCUACGGGAGGCAGCAGUAGGGAAUCCUCCGCAAUGGGCGAAAGCUUGACGGAGCAACGCCGCGUGAGUGAUGAAGGUCUUCGGAUCGUAAAACUCUGUUAUUAGGGAAGAACAAAUGUGUAAGUAACUAUGCACGUCUUGACGGUACCUAAUCAGAAAGCCACGGCUAACUACGUG
rnacentral:rRNA from 1 species